CCCCCCCCCCCUGCGAGAUCCGACAACUUGACUACGUGUCUCAGUACACAACUGACAUCAGACAUGUUAAGGUAAACACAAUGAUGUCGCUGACACAUUGUCACGCAUUAGCCUGAACACAUUCUUUGCCAUGUCAUCAUCUUCAAUUGAUUUCCAGGUCAUGGCCGAGCAUCAGCACAAUGGUGAGGACUUACUCCAUCACAAGCAACAGUCGGUUCUUCCAAGGACAUUCCACUGGUCGCAAGUGAGAACACCCUGACUUGCGACAUGGCUACCCGAACCCCUCGACCCUUUGUCCCCAAGGCGAUGCACCGAGCAGUAUUCGACUCCUUGCAUUCACAGUCGCAUCCUGGAAUCAGAGCCACUCUCAAGCCUGAUGCCCACCUCGACCACGUGCAUAUUGACAUUGUCAGCCCACUUCCACCGUCCAACAGUCAGUCAAACCUUCUCACGUGCAUUGAUCGGUUCACAAGGUGGCCGGAAGCCAUUCCAAUCCAAGACAUAACUGCAGAAACUGUAGCCAGGGCGUUUGUGAGCAAUUGGGUGACAAGAUAUGGCACACCAUCGACAAUCACCACCGACCGCGGCCGACAAUUCAAAUCAGCCCUGUUCAACGCCUUGACAACAUAACUAGGCAGUAGGCGCAUCCGUACUACAUCUUACCAUCCUAUUGCAAACCGCCUUGUAGAGCGUUUCCACAGACAGUUGAAAGCUUCACUCAAAGCACAGAACUAGCCCAACAGGUGGACGGAAACACUUCCUCUUGUUCUACUGGGCAUACCUAUAGUCGUCAAACGGGACAUUGGGUGUUCGACAGCAGAACUCGUCUUUGGAACUACCUUGCGCCUCCCUGGACAGUUUGUCACACCCAUCGAUGAUCCCGGUUUAGACCCUGGAGAUUAUGUACAUUGCCUCAAGCGCAUUAUGCGUCAGAUAGCGCCAGCACCUACACGACCGCACACCCGCACCACACAGCUUCACAAGGACUUGUUGUCUUGCAUACACGUUUUCGUCCGAUGUGAUUAUGUGCGCAAACCACUUAAACCUCUGUACAAGGGCCCAUAUCGUGUACUUGAGCGAGCAGACAAAUACUAUACACUGGACAUCAACGGCAAGAGCGACGCUGUGAGUUUGAAUAGAUUGAAAGUUGCGUAUCUUGAGGUGGAUCCCUCAACCGCGUUGCCGCAACCAUCAUCGCCAAAACUGCCAGUGCCAACUCCUCAAGACUCGACGGUUACACCGUCCCUGCCUGUUCCAGUUGAUCAGGACAGUACAACUCGCGAGCGGACAACGCGCACCGGCACAUACAUAUAAUGUAUUUUGUUCACUUCCUUCCAUACAUAGUAUGUGUUCUACCAUAGACUUUUCGUUGUUUACCAGCACGUGUGAAGGACACAACGUGAGUGUUGUCAAGUGUAAUAGGCUGUAUCAUUCUGUCAUCACAAAACUGACCUGCCUUAUUCAUCUUAUUUUAUGAAUAGUCCGUGGGACGAGGCCUUUUUUUCGCUCGUUACGCGAUCUGGUUUUCCGAAUUUUUUCUAAUAUUUCUUAUUCCAUUGAUCAAAAAUAGAAAGCGCUAACAAACCACGUUCCCGCAUUCCUGGGUGGUUUGGGACUUCACAAAUGAAUUUUAAUUAACAUCAAAUUCGAGGUUGCAGCCAAAAAAAUCGUUAGACAAAUAUAACGCCCGAGAGAGGAUAAAAAUCAACCAAUAACGUGCAAGGUUUGUGUUGCAUCGCCAAAGAACCAAUCAAAUUGCACGUAAUAUAUACGUCGACAAGAGGCAAGUCCAACAUGGCGUCGUCGGAAGCAAGUACCGAGUCCGAGACCGCAGUGGAGACAGAAGGUGAAAAUGCUCCAAAAUCAUCAGUUCAGUGUCUCAUGCACUUUCCGACUGGAAAGGGUGAAGUGCAGUUAUUUACGGAGCACAGCUAGUCACGUUUCCUUGAGUUUACCGACGUCUGGAAGGCCUUCACAAAAGGACCGCAAGCCGAGAUGGCAAGCAGUUCAUCGCCAAAACAUCCGCCACGUCAGCCGGCGUAAGUGUUGCUACUCAGCCCGUCAGUAUGCGGUUGCAAUCUCACGAUCCCAGAGAAUGCUGGUCAUCAUCGGUCAUGCUACAGUCAGUACACUGACAAGUCCAAGGUGAAGAGAGCAGUUCAAGCCCAGCAAAAAGAGAAGUCUAAAGUUGCAGAAACUGAAACAGCCAAAAAGGUUCCCCACCCCCCUGUGAAAACGAGAAGACUCCGUUCAGCCACGCAAACGGUUUCCAAGACUGCAGCAAGAUCACAACACGUUUUACCCAAACAGUGCAUCCUUUGCAGGAAGGAGAAGUGUGUGACCUGCCGAGUUACAAGGAAGAGGAGGCAAGAAUCCCUGGUCAAAUGUACUACCCUACAGGCUGAAAUAUUGCUACAGGCGACGGAAGACAACAACAAUGAAGAACUUCUUAUGCACAUUGUCAAAUCCAAAAUGGAUGUGCUCAGAAUUGUUUCGGUGCAUUUGUGUAAUUGCUCUUAUUGUUUCUGGUAUUUGACACUUAUACAUGUACAUGUACUGCAAUUGCAGAAAUUCAACUGAGGAAGUGCCAUUGCAUUGGUGUGGUCAGACUAAUUGAUAUCUGUGAAAACACAUUUGUGUUUGUUUACAAACUGGCAUUUAGAAAACUUAUUUUUGUUUUAAUUUCUUUUUCAUGAAGGCUGUUAACCAAAUUGGCAAAAAGAUACAUGUAACACUGCAUAAGGUGUGUUUGAAGUUGUAUUAAACCCCUAUGAAUGUUUGAUGUGGUGUAUAUUGGGAUUUGGGGAAUGGAUAGGGCCAAAAAGGAUAUAAUUGGUUGUAUUGUUUAAAACAGAAGUUCAAGAAACAAAUGUAUACUAGAUGGUUUUGAAUCCAAGUUUUUACUAAAAGUGGAAUGCCUGCACACCUUAAACAACUUUUGUAAAGUUAUCUGCGACUGGAAGCUGUUUUUUUGGGGCUCUUUCUUCUGGGGAGGAUCUUUGUCAUUUAAUUUGGAAUACAUGAACUCAUCCUGUUUGAGGUACCUGCCGUCUUUACUCAAAUUGUUCAUUCAAGAAAACAACACUAACUGAUUAAGAUUUUUCCAUCUGUGUAUUUCUUUUGGCUGAAUGCAGUAUGUCAUGUACAGCACAUCAAAGUUGGAAUAAAAAAGUUAAGGAAACAGUA